rnacentral:rRNA from 1 species
AUUGAACGCUGGCGGCAUGCUUUACACAUGCAAGUCGAACGGUAACAGGUUAAGCUGACGAGUGGCGAACGGGUGAGUAAUGCAUCGGAACGUGCCCGAUCGUGGGGGAUAACGCAGCGAAAGCUGCGCUAAUACCGCAUACGAUCUGAGGAUGAAAGCGGGGAACCGUAAGGCCUCGCGCGAUCGGAGCGGCCGAUGUCAGAUUAGGUAGUUGGUGGGGUAAAGGCUCACCAAGCCAACGAUCUGUAGCUGGUCUGAGAGGACGACCAGCCACACUGGGACUGAGACACGGCCCAGACUCCUACGGGAGGCAGCAGUGGGGAAUUUUGGACAAUGGGCGAAAGCCUGAUCCAGCAAUGCCGCGUGCAGGAAGAAGGCCUUCGGGUUGUAAACUGCUUUUGUACGGAGCGAAAAGGCCCUCUCUAAUACAGGGGGUUUAUGACGGUACCGUAAGAAUAAGCACCGGCUAACUACGUGCCAGCAGCCGCCGUAA